GAUGAACGCUGACAGAAUGCUUAACACAUGCAAGUCUACUUGAACUUCGGUUUGGGUGGCGGACGGGUGAGUAACGCGUAAAGAACUUGCCUCACAGUUAGGGACAACAUUUGGAAACGAAUGCUAAUACCUGAUAUUAUGAUUUUAGGGCAUCCUAGGAUUAUGAAAGCUAUAUGUGCUGUGAGAGAGCUUUGCGUCCCAUUAGCUAGUUGGAGAGGUAACGGCUCACCAAGGCGAUGAUGGGUAGCCGGCCUGAGAGGGUGAACGGCCACAAGGGGACUGAGACACGGCCCUUACUCCUACGGGAGGCAGCAGUGGGGAAUAUUGGACAAUGGACCAAAAGUCUGAUCCAGCAAUUCUGUGUGCACGAUGACGUUUUUCGGAAUGUAAGGUGCUUUCAGUUGGGAAGAAAAAAAUGACGGUACCAACAGAAGAAGUGACGGCUAAAUACGUG
rnacentral:rRNA from 1 species